rnacentral:rRNA from 1 species
GCCCAAUGAUUUAUUAAAUGGCCGCGGUAUACUGACCGUGCAAAGGUAGCAUAAUCACUAGUUUUUUAAUUGGAAGCUUGAAUGAAAGGUUGGAUGAGGAAACUACUGUCUCAAUUAAAAUUUAUUAGAAUUUUAUUAUUUUGUAAAAAGGCAAAAAUUUGUAUAAAAGACGAGAAGACCCUAUAGAGUUUUAUAAUUUUAGGAGAAAGGGUAAUUAGAAUAUAUUUUUUUAUUUUUUAAAAUUAUUUGGUUGGGGUGAUUGAAAAAUUUAAUUAACUUUUUUUGUAUGAAAUACAUAGAUUUAUGAGUAUUUGAUCCUUAGUAAAGAUUAAAAGAAAAAAUUACCUUAGGGAUAACAGCGUUAUUUUUCUUGAGAGU